AACGCACCUUGCGCUCCUUGGUAUUCCGAGGAGCAUGCCUGUUCGAGUGUCAUUAAAUUCUCAACCCUAUUAGCUUUAUUGUUAGUAGUGGGUGGAUAUGGGGGUAUGGUUUGCUGGCUUUUGAUAAGUCGGCUCCCCUUAAAAGUAUUAGCUGGUACAAUUGUUGGGUCCUCAUCUAUUUGGUGUGAUAAUUAUCUACGCCGUUGGAUGUUGAUCCUAGUACUGCUUAUAAACAGUCCUUUGGACAAUUAAAAUGACUAUUUGACCUCGAAUCAGGUAGGACUACCCGCUGAACUUAA
rnacentral:misc_RNA from 1 species